GUCUGUUACCUCCCUGCUGCAGCCAAUUUACGAACCACAGAUGAGAGAUAGUACAAUAUUACAUUUAAGAAAAGUGUGAAAUAACAGAUGGCGCUGGCCAAAUACGUCGCCUCGCCGUGGCAGCCCGACGCCCGAAAGGGAGGUGUGGCCAGCCGUCCUCCGCCACGGUGGCCCUGACCCGUCAGACGGCCCGCUGCCCAUAUUGGUAACAAGACUUCCCCCAUCCCCCCACUCUCUGCACUUCUCCCUUUCCCUCUCUCCCACCCCACCAUCAACGGUAUACCCCCUCCCAACACAACUUAACCCGGAAACACCUCUUGUCUAGCCCUCUCAUCUCGGAGAGGCGUGCAGCCGCCCACCGCCCACGCCACCUGAUGUACCCACGGUGAGAUGGUGCCUGGUUGGAGAGGGAACGGUGAUAUGUGGGCUGCACCAUACCUACACGUGAUGGUGGUGAUGUCACCAUCAGCACCCACACCUGAUUCCCCUCUCCUUGUCAACACGUACUCUUUCCUUCCUUCGAACGAAUCACCCCAACCCCUCACCUUCACCCUAUCCGUCCCGCACACCUGCCUUGCAGAGGAAGAGCAAUUGGUCUACUCAGCGCCACGUGACAUUCCGUCCGGAGGUCACCGCCGAUAAGAGAGGGCCGCCCCCCGUGUCUCCAGACCGACGCCCCCCUGAACAGCUGUGGCCUAGUCAGGCGGCGAGCAGGUGUGGGUGACGGCGGGAGCAGCUGAGGGAGACACCAGGCUUCACAAGCAUUUCCCGUCCUCCAUCACCAUCACACCAGCCCACCUCAGGGUCGUGAGGGUCACCAACUCUGCCGCCUGAAUCGCCGCAAAGUAAUGAGGACGUCCGGGCUUCACUAUGCUUUCAAGGUCGCUCCAGGUCACUCCUCGAUGAACUCGCCCAGCACCCUGUCAGCUCACCAAGUUCAGCAGAAACACUAAUCUAUUUUGCUCGUUUAUUUCUCGACUCUGAGAAACCGUGAUUUUCUACUGCUUACGACUGCAGGACACCAGCCGGCCUCAAGUAUCACUGAGGUGCUGAGCUCGGAAAAGGUAGUAGAACAGCGGUUUAAGGUUAUCAUAAACUAUCUUGAAGGUGACACUCCCAGCUCCUCCCCCUGUCGGUCACAUGAUUGUCUCUCCUUCACACUGCCAGGGGGAGAAGGCCAUUUGACACUCCCACUUCUACGUGCUGAAUUAUAUGCGACAGAAACCGUUAAGCAGCGUACAAGGAGACAUCUGUCCAAUAAUCGCCACGGAUCAAUUAUAAAAUAUCUGGCCAGCUGCUGCUGCCUCAGCGCGUCCCACUAUCAGCUGCCGCCGGAGGUUUCCACACCCGGGAACCGCGCCCGUGACGCAGGGCACCAGCUGCUGCCUCAGCUCAGUUCUCUUAGAAAAAAAAAAAGGUCCACCUGUUUCACAUCUUUCACUGAAGCCUCGAUGAGUUGCUCUGUGCUGGGAUGAGGGGCGCCAUCUUAGGCUCGGCAAGGAAGCAACUGUAAAGUAAAGUAAAAUAAAUUAAAUUUUAUUGCUAUUUACGUACACAACAUAAUGUACAUACAUAGUACUCAUCUAAGCAAUGGCACGGCCUGCCAAGCCAAGGUUCCUAGGCAGACGGAUUUAUCUGUGUGUGUGUGUGUGUGUGUGUGUGUGUGUGUGUGUGUGUGUUAGGGGUCGCCAGCAGGUGUGGUACGCCGUCUGUUCCCUCAGCCACGGCAGUUUCUGUUACAAAGUUUCCUCCAUCUGGGUAAACUUCCAUCUGCAUCGUGGGGGCGGUGGGCUCGGCAGCUGCAGUGGCUUUCAUGUGUGUCAAUGCUAAUUAUGUCUGCACUUUGACUAAGUGAGACUUAUUGCCAUCUCACCCUCCUCUCUCCUCUCCUCCCCUGGAGCCAGUGCAUUUCCGCCUGGUUUAUCUUCCACUUUGUUAUUACUCAGCAUUCAGCACAUCACACUUGUGUAUCUCACGGUGUGUGUGUCUGUGAGUGUGUGUGUGUGUGUGUGUGUGUGUGUGUGUGUGUGAGAGAGAGAGAGAGAGAGAGAGAGAGAGAGAGAGAGAGAGAGAGAGAGAGGUGGGGGGGAUAAAAGCAGAGGGCACCUCGUGAGAGCUGGCAACGGAGAGAGAGAGAAAGCUAAGUAUGGUGAGAGGCGUAUCCCCGAGGGGCGGCGGCGCGACGGCGGUGUCUUCCUCUGCUAUCCUACGCUCCAUCUGUUUCUUUACACGUCCCCUACACCCCCGCCGGGACGCUCGCCUGGUCAGUGCUACAGUCACCCGCUUGCGGCUGUGUGGGGCGAGGGUCGCGGUACGGGUGUGUAGUGUGGGCACUCCCCGCACCUCUCAUCCCUCCUAACCUUCCUCCGUUUCCUUCUGUACCUAUAAAAUCACCCCUCUGCUUGGAUGUGUCAUGGAGUCUUUCCUCAAGGAGUCCCAUUUCUGAACCCUGUAAUCUGGUCUCGUAUCCUUUCUCCAAACACACAGACACACAUACACACACAGGUGCACCACAUCUUGGCAUCACCCGCAUACCAGACAAGAAAAUGAUAUCCCUUGACAGAAAAGACGAAGAGAGAGAAGUGUCAUCAGAAUAUCCUUGUCAGACACCCUCUCCCUACCUUGUCAUCUAUUCCCUGCCACCUCACUACUACACACCCCAAUAUUCAUCCGAAACCCCCUGCAUUACUAAACAUGUGUCUUUUCACCCCCCUUCACUCCUUCCUCCUGAUGCGCACACCCUUCCCCCUGCCCUUGUCAGAGUUGCCCCGAGAGGGUCAGGGGGAAGGGGCGGAGAAGGUGAAGGAGUGAGUAGGUGGAUGGGUGGUGGGGAGGUUUUGGGUGUGGGUGCCAUAACCUGAUCUCCGGUCCAACCACUUCCUGCAAACACAAUUGGUACUCUCUCUCUCUCUCUCUCUCUCUCUCUCUCUCUCUCUCUCUCUCUCUCUCUCUGAGUCAUCACAACCAAUGUGUGUGUGUGUCUGUGUGUGUGUGUGUGUGUGUGUGUGUGUGUGUGUGUGUGUGUGUGUGUGUGUGUGUGUGUGUGUGUGUGUACGCUUCCCAGCAGGUCUGGGUGUUAAUUGUCAUAUCUGUUAAUAAACAUUAAUAUUAGAGUGUACAUUGUCAUCCGUUCGACUUAAUUAACAAGGACUCUGUGUGUGUGUGUGUGUGUGUGUGUGUGUGUGUGUGUGUGUGUGUGUGCUCGCGCGUAAUAUCGCUGUAUAUCUAUAUAUGCAUGACCGUGUGUUUAUACAUUUCCACAUAUGCGUAUAUCUAUAAUUCCGUUGUACUUCAUGUGCCGUGACAACGUCAAAAAAAAAAAUAAAGUAUUUUUGUAUUGAU